rnacentral:rRNA from 1 species
AGGACGAACGCUGGCGGCGUGCUUAACACAUGCAAGUCGAGCGGUGAUCCUCCUUCGGGAGGUGAGCAGCGGCGAACGGGUGAGUAACACGUGGGCAACCUGCCCCUCACACUGGGAUAACCUCGGGAAACCGGGGCUAAUACCGGAUAUGACCUCGAGCGGCAUCUCUUGAGGUGGAAAGCUCCGACGGUGAGGGAUGGGCCCGCGGCCUAUCAGCUUGUUGGUGGGGUAAUGGCCUACCAAGGCGACGACGGGUAGCCGGCCUGAGAGGGCGACCGGCCACACUGGGACUGAGACACGGCCCAGACUCCUACGGGAGGCAGCAGUGGGGAAUCUUGCGCAAUGGGCGAAAGCCUGACGCAGCAACGCCGCGUGAGGGAUGAAGGUCUUCGGGUUGUAAACCUCUUUCGAGCAGGGACGAUUGUGACGGUACCUGCAGAAGAAGCUCGGCCAACUACGCGCCAGCAGCCGCGGUAA